GUGUCAGCCGCCGCGGUAAGACGAACCGUGCGAACGUUGUUCGGAUUCACUGGGCUUAAAGGGCGCGUAGGCGGCUUCUCAAGUCGGGGGUGAAAUCGUUCCGCUCAACGGGACAAUAGCCCCCGAUACUGGGAGGCUGGAGGGAGAUAGGGGUGCGCGGAACUUCCGGUGGAGCGGUGAAAUGCGUAGAUAUCGGAAGGAACGCCGGUGGCGAAAGCGGCGCACUGGAUCUCUACUGACGCUGAUGCGCGAAAGCCAGGGGAGCAAACGGGAUUAGAUACCCCGGUAGUCCUGGCCCUAAACGAUGGGUACUAGAUUGUGGGCUUGCAUGGGCUCACAGUCGAAGCAAAAGUACUAAGUACCCCGCCUGGGGAGUAUGGUCGCAAGGCUGAA
rnacentral:rRNA from 1 species